rnacentral:rRNA from 1 species
CCGAAUGGGGAAACCCAGUGUGAUUCGUCACACUAUCAUUAACUGAAUCCAUAGGUUAAUGAGGCGAACCGGGGGAACUGAAACAUCUAAGUACCCCGAGGAAAAGAAAUCAACCGAGAUUCCCCCAGUAGCGGCGAGCGAACGGGGAGGAGCCCAGAGCCUGAAUCAGCAUGUGUGUUAGUGGAAGCGUCUGGAAAGGCGCGCGAUACAGGGUGACAGCCCCGUACACAAAAGCGCAUGUGCUGUGAGCUCGAUGAGUAGGGCGGGACACGUGGUAUCCUGUCUGAAUAUGGGGGGACCAUCCUCCAAGGCUAAAUACUCCUGACUGACCGAUAGUGAACCAGUACCGUGAGGGAAAGGCGAAAAGAACCCCGGCGAGGGGAGUGAAAAAGAACCUGAAACCGUGUACGUACAAGCAGUGGGAGCACCCUUUGGGUGUGACUGCGUACCUUUUGUAUAAUGGGUCAGCGACUUAUAUUCUGUAGCAAGGUUAACCGAAUAGGGGAGCCGGAGGGAAACCGAGUCUUAACCGGGCGUUAAGUUGCAGGGUAUAGACCCGAAACCCGGUGAUCUAGCCAUGGGCAGGUUGAAGG